rnacentral:rRNA from 1 species
UACGGAGGGGGCUAGCGUUGUUCGGAAUUACUGGGCGUAAAGCGCGCGUAGGCGGACCUGCAAGUCGGGGGUGAAAGCCCGAGGCUCAACCUCGGAACUGCCUUCGAUACUGCGGGUCUCGAGUCCGGGAGAGGUGAGUGGAAUUCCUAGUGUAGAGGUGAAAUUCGUAGAUAUUCGCAGGAACACCAGUGGCGAAGGCGGCUCACUGGCUCGAUACUGACGCUGAGGUGCGAAAGCGUGGGGAGCAAACAGG